rnacentral:rRNA from 1 species
AGUGAACGCUGGCGGCGUGCCUAAUACAUGCAAGUCGAACGGAGUGGCGCACGGGUGAGUAAUGUAUAGCUAAUCUGCCCUACACUAGAGGACACCAGUUGGAACUGGCUGCUAAUACUCUAUAGUGUAGGAUGAGGCUAUAUUGUAUCAGCUAGUUGGUGAGGUAAUGGCUCACCAAGGCUAUGACGAAUAACUGGUCUGAGAGGAUGAUCAGUCACAAGGGAACUGAGACACGGUCCAGACGCCAAAGGGAGGAAGCAGUAGGGAAGAUUGCUCCAUGGGGGAAACCCUGAAGCAGCAACGCAGCGUGGAGGAUGACACUUUUCGGAGCGUAAACUCCUUUUGUUAGGGAAGCGGUACCUAACGAAUAAGCACCGGCUAACUACGUGCCAGCAGCCGCGGUAAUAC